rnacentral:lncRNA from 1 species
CAAGAGAGCUUGAAUAUCUUGGUAGAAUCAAGCACCCUAAUCUUGUUCCACUGACUGGAUACUGCUUAGCCGGUGAACAAAGGAUUGCUAUUUAUGAUUAUAUGGAGAAUGGAAACUUGCAAAAUUUGCUUCAUGACCUGCCACUUGGGCUUCAAACUAUAGAAGAUUGGAGUACAGACACAUGGGAAGAAGAUAAUAAUGGGAUUCAAAAUGUCGGGUCUGAAGGUUUGUUAACAACAUGGAGAUUCAGAUACAAGAUUGCACUUGGCACUGCCAGAGCAUUGGCAUUUCUUCACCACGGGUGCUCUCCUCCUAUAAUUCACAUAGAUGUUAAAUCUAGCAGUGUUUAUCUUGAUAUGAACUUAGAACCAAGAUUGUCUGAUUUUGGAUUGGCAAAGAUAUUCGGGCACAGUAUUGAGGAUGAGAUUGCUCGUGGGACACCAGGUUAUGUGCCACCUGAGUUUCUUUUGCCAGAAAGUGGCUCACCUAAAGGAGCAACACCAUACUCUGAUGUUUAUGGAUUUGGGAUUGUUCUCUUUGAGUUAGUUACAGGGAAAAAACCAGCUGAAGAUGCUUAUGAAGAUAAAGAAACAACUUUGGUUAGUUGGGUGAGGGGAUUAGUUAGGAAAAACGAGGGUUCAAGAGCCAUUGACCCCAAAAUUCGUGGAACUGGACCCAAGUCUCAGUUUGUUGAGGCCUUAAAGAUCGGAUAUUUAUGCACUGCUGAUCAUCCCUCUAAGCGGCCAAGCAUGCAGCAAGUCGUAGGACUUCUAAAGGAUAUCGAACCAUCUAUGAACUAGUGACAGAAUUCCAGUUUCAUUUCCUAGCAAUGUAAAUUGUUUUGUUGUUUGGUUUCACGAGUCCUUCAUGCAUGCUCUGCAUUCAGGUGAUUUUUACAGUAGUUAUUUGAUUUUAUAUAUUGGAAUCCGCCAACUUUGGACUAACUUCUUGUUUACAUCAAGGCCAGAAGAAUCUUAGUUGUCCUGUGAGUUAAAAAAUAUGCAUUUCAUAUCUUGUUUCUUUUUUGUUCCUUCCUAAGUUGUCAUUAAUUCGCUUAUUACUGUUACUAAUGUAAUCAACUUAGGUGCUUUCACUUGUAGUAGAGUGGACAUACUGUUUCUGGAUCUUUUACUCUACAGGCCGUAUCAUUAAACAUUGACUCCGCCUUUUAUAUGCACAAUCUCUGCGCUUUCUUCCUACUGAACAUAUAAGGCAGGGUUCCCGUCAACCCUGUCCCGAAAAAAAAAAAAAAUCAUAUUUUCUAACAGAAAAUAGCAGCAGAAGCUAGAAUGCUGCAUUAUCUUGAAAAUUCUAGAGAGAAAAAACUUUGACAGCACGAGUAAGACAGAAUUGUAAUUCUGCUUGUUUGUUGUACUCGAAGAUUAUUUAGCACUUUCUUUUCACAGAAUUACAAGUGCACUGCAGUGGGGCUGUCAUGCCUUUUUAUUCUUAGGAUACCUAUCCACUACAUUAUGUACUUGAGUCUUGAGUUUAUAAAUCAAUCUUUUUGUGCAAAUUUUUCUGUUGAGUUGUGAGGACAGUGACUGCACCAUGACAUUCCAAUCCACCNAGAAUGGAAACUUGCAAAAUUUGCUUCAUGACCUGCCACUUGGGCUUCAAACUAUAGAAGAUUGGAGUACAGACACAUGGGAAGAAGAUAAUAAUGGGAUUCAAAAUGUCGGGUCUGAAGGUUUGUUAACAACAUGGAGAUUCAGAUACAAGAUUGCACUUGGCACUGCCAGAGCAU